CCUACGGGUGGCAGCAGUGGGGAAUAUUGCACAAUGGGGGAAACCCUGAUGCAGCAACGCCGCGUGAGUGAUGACGGCCUUCGGGUUGUAAAGCUCUGUCUUCAGGGACGAGAAUGACGGUACCUGAGGAGGAAGCCACGGCUAACGACGUGCCAGCAGCCGCGGUAAUACGGAGGUGGCGAGCGUUGGCCGGAUUGACGGGUCGUAAAGGGAGCGGAGGCGGACUUUUAAGUGAGCUGUGAAAUACUCGGGCUCAACUUGAGGGCUGCAUUUCAAACUGUAAGUCUCGAGUGCAGGAGAGUGGACUUGCCUUCCUAGUGUAGCGGUGCACUGCGUCGUGAUUAGG
rnacentral:rRNA from 1 species